rfam:Triticum aestivum genome assembly, contig: Triticum_aestivum_CS42_TGACv1_scaffold_569068_7AS
CAUAUACUUCCUUCGUUCCGAAUUACUUGUCUUGAAUUUGUCUAGAUACAGAUAUAUCUAGACUUAUUUUAGUACUAGAUACCUCUGUAUUUAGACAAAUCUAAGACAAAUAAUUCGAAACGGAGGAAGUACCUG